GGAGCUGCUGAUGUGCUGGAGAUCCAGGAGGCGCAAAAUCGUGGUGAACGCACCAUGACAGUGCCCUCAGCAAAGUCCAGACGGUGGCAGGGAUCCCCAGUGUCACCGCAUCAGCAGACAAAAGCACCUUUCUAACUUGGCUGGGAAACAGGCAAAUUGCAGCAACAGAAAAGCCCAAGGUAGGAGGGAAGACUCUGAGUGUGCCCAGCCUACAGCCAGCAGAGCUUUGUUCCACGCGGAGCACGACACAUCCCAUCAAGGCUCCAGCCUGAUGCUGACUGAUCUGGAAAUCAAAUCCCCUCUGAACUGCAUCCUCUGGGGAUAGUUCAGACAUCCCCAUUUAAACAGCUUACAUAAAAGGGCUGGUGGGGGCCUGACAGGCUGACAAGUGAAGCUGCAGCACCCAAGAAACAGGUCAGCACAAGGUUCAUUUUCAGACUGGGCAGGGGGGUGUCCAUUUGACAGAAGAGAAACUGGAGGGAAAAGAAAGCAGACAUUCCCUGGGAGAAGGUAUUCCAGGGUCUCUCUGGGGUUGCACAGGCCCUGCUAACAGGCCCCCAAUGGUCUGGGCUCCCCACUGAAAGAAGACACUGGACCGUAGCCACCUGUUAUUUCCAAGCUCUGUGCAGGGCUUUUUGUAACUACCAAAGAUUCAGGGAAUGAGGCAAUGCUCCCAUUAUUACAGUGCUAUCAUCUGAAUGUUUGCGUCCUCUCAAAUUCAUAUAUUGAAAUCCUAACUCCCAAGGUGAUGGCAUUAGGAGGUGGGGCCUUUGGGAGGUGAUGAGAAUGGAGCCCUAGUGAAUAGAAUUAUUGCCUUUAUAAGAACUGAUCCACAGAGCACCCUUCUGCCAUGUGAAGACAGAGCAAAAAAACAGACUCAGGAACUUGAUCUCCACCACACACUCAGUCUGCUGGCUCCUGAUCUAGGACUUCCAGAUUCCAGAAUUAUGAGGAAAAAAUAUGUUGUUUACAAGCCACCCAGGCACUGAAAUUCUGUUAUUGUAGCCUGCAUAGACUAAGAGAUACACAGAAAUAACUCUAUACCUACAUCAUAUUCUAAUGUUUUCAGGGCUCAUUUACAUGGAGUCUUUUUCACCUGAUUCUUCCAAAAUUGACAGGAAACAAAGGGCACAGGUGUCCUCAUCUCUGCUUUUCAAAAGGAGAACAGGAAGUGAGGCUGGAGGCGAGUAAUUCGCAAGAGGAAAAGCAAA
rnacentral:lncRNA from 13 species